GUGAAUCAUCGAAUUUUUGAACGCAAAUUGCGCUUCCUGGUAUCACGGGAAGUAUGUCUGUUUGAGGGUCAGUAUUAACAAAAACUCGGUUGGGUUGCAAAUUGUGACGUUUCCGGAGUUUGGGCUUAUCUUAAUUUUUUUGGUUAAGGGGCUUAAAAUUGACCUUUUUUGCGUAUUUGUAGGCGAACAUAAUUUCUUUUUAUUCGUCU
rnacentral:misc_RNA from 1 species